rnacentral:rRNA from 1 species
AUUGAACGCUGGCGGCAGGCCUAACACAUGCAAGUCGAACGGUAACAGAAAGCAGCUUGCUGCUUUGCUGACGAGUGGCGGACGGGUGAGUAAUAUCUGGGAAACUGCCUGAUGGAGGGGGAUAACUACUGGAAACGGUAGCUAAUACCGCAUAACGUCGCAAGACCAAAGAGGGGGACCUUCGGGCCUCUUGCCAUCGGAUGUGCCCAGAUGGGAUUAGCUAGUAGGUGGGGUAACGGCUCACCUAGGCGACGAUCCCUAGCUGGUCUGAGAGGAUGACCAGCCACACUGGGACUGAGACACGGUCCAGACUCCUACGGGAGGCAGCAGUGGGGAAUAUUGCACAAUGGGCGCAAGCCUGAUGCAGCCAUGCCGCGUGUAUGAAGAAGGCCUUCGGGUUGUAAAGUACUUUCAGCGAGGAGGAAGGUGUUGUGGUUAAUAACCACAGCAAUUGACGUUACUCGCAGAAGAAGCACCGGCUAACUCCGUGCCAGCCGCCGCUGUAA